rnacentral:rRNA from 1 species
UACAGAGGGUGCGAGCGUUGUCCGGAAUCACUGGGCGUAAAGGGCGCGUAGGCGGCCUGGCAAGUCUGUGGUGAAAGCUCAGGGCUUAACUCUGAGUCGGCCAUCGAUACUGCGAGGCUCGAGUCUGGUAGAGGCAGAUGGAAUUCCGGGUGUAGCGGUGGAAUGCGUAGAGAUCCGGAAGAACACCGGUGGCGAAGGCGGUCUGCUGGGCCAGUACUGACGCUGAGGAGCGAAAGCAUGGGGAGCGAACAGG